GACGAACGCUGGCGGCGUGCUUAACACAUGCAAGUCGAACGAAGUGGCGAACGGGUGAGUAACGCGUAAUCAACCUGCACUUCAGAGGGUCACAACAGUUGGAAACGACUGCUAAUACCGCAUACUGUAGGAUGGGAUUGCGUCUGAUUAGCUCGUUGGAGGGGUAACGGCCCACCAAGGAGAUGAGCAGUAGCCGGUCUGAGAGGAUGAACGGCCACAUUGGGACUGAGACACGGCCCAGACUCCUACGGGAGGCAGCAGUGGGGAAGCUUCCGCAAUGGACGAAAGUCUGACGGAGCAACGCGGCGUGAGUGAUGACGGCCUUCGGGUUGUAAAGCUCUGUUAAUCGGGACGCGGUACCGGAAUAGAAAGCCACGGCUAACUACGUGCCAGCAGCCGCGGUAAUAC
rnacentral:rRNA from 1 species